UAAGGAAUAUUGGUCAAUGGACGCAAGGCUGAACCAGCCAUGCCGCGUGAAGGAUUAAGGCCCUCUGGGUUGUAAACUUCUUUUAUAGGGGAAGAAAUGUGACGGUUCUCCGUCACUUGACGGUACCCUGGGAAUAAGCACCGGCUAACUCCGUGACAGCAGCCGCGGUAAUACGGAGGGUGCAAGCGUUCUACGGAUUCACUGGGUUUAAAGGGUGAGUAGGUGGGCAGAUAAGUCAGUGGUGAAAUCUUCCGGCUUAACCGGGAAACUGACUUUGAUACUAUUUUUCUUGAAUAUUGCGGAGGUAAGCGGAAUAUGUCAUGUAGCGGUGAAAUGCUUAGAUAUGACAUAGAACACCAAUUGCGAAGGCAGCUUACGAGACAAUCUUUGACACUGAGGCACGAAAGCGUGGGUAGCGAACA
rnacentral:rRNA from 1 species